rnacentral:rRNA from 1 species
UGCUUCUUUUGGAUCGAGUGGCAACGGGUGAGUAACACGUAAACAACCUGCCUUCAGGAUGGGGACAACAGACGGAAACGACUGCUAAUACCGAAUACGCUUGGGAGACCGCAUGAUCUUCCAAGGAAAGGGUGGCCUCUACCUGUAAGCUAUCGCCUGAAGAGGGGUUUGCGUCUGAUUAGGCAGUUGGUGAGGUAACGGCCCACCAAACCUACGAUCAGUAGCCGGUCUGAGAGGAUGAACGGCCACACUGGAACUGAGACACGGUCCAGACUCCUACGGGAGGCAGCAGUGGGGAAUCUUCCGCAAUGGGCGAAAGCCUGACGGAGCAACGCCGCGUGAGUGAUGACGGCCUUCGGGUUGUAAAGCUCUGUGAUCGGGGACGAACGGUCCGUAAGCUAAUACCUUAUGGAAGUGACGGUACCCGAAUAGCAAGCCACGGCUAACUACGUGCCAGCAGCCGCGGUAAUACGUAGGUGGCAAGCGUUGUCCGGAAUUAUUGGGCGUAAAGCGCGCGCAGGCGGCUUUCUAAGUCCAUCUUAAAAGUGUGGGGCUUAACCCCGUGAUGGGAUGGAAACUGG